rnacentral:tRNA from 1 species
GGGGAUUUAGCUCAGUGGCAUAAGCGCCUGCCUUGCAAGCAGGUGGGGUUGUGAGUUUGAUCCCUG